AACGAACGCUGGCGGCAUGCCUAACACAUGCAAGUCGAACGAGACCAUCGGGUCUAGUGGCGCACGGGUGCGUCACGCGUGGGAACCUGCACUUAGGCACGGAAUAACUCUCUGACAGGGGUGCUAAUAUCGGAAAAUGUCCUCGGACCCAAGAUUCAUCGCACUUGGAGGGGCAGGCGUUGGUCUGGCUUGUUGGUAGGGGAAAAGCCUAUCACGGCGAGGAUCCAUAGCUGGUUAGAGAGGAAGAUCAGCGACACUUGGACUGGGAUACGGCGCAGACUCCUGCGCGAGGCAGCAGUGGGGAAUCUUGGAAUACGGGCUGAGGGCUGAUCCAGCAAGGCCUCGUGAGUGAUGAUGGCCUGAGAGAUGUAAAGCUCUUUUACCCGGGAUGAUAAUGACGGUACCGGGAGAAUAAGCGCCGGCUAACUCCGUG
rnacentral:rRNA from 1 species